rnacentral:rRNA from 1 species
UCCUAAACCCACUCACUCUGAAAUGCAACCGGUCUCAUCAGAUCACAGAAGCUGAACAGAAUUGAAGCCUGGUUAGUCCUUUGAUCAGAGACUGCCUUGGGAAUUCAAGGUGUUGUUGCCU